rnacentral:lncRNA from 1 species
CAUCAUUGCUAGCCUAUUGUGAGGUACUAAUUUAAAAAAAAACACAAAAAAAUUAUUAUUAAAAAAGCACUGUUAAAAUGAUGAAAAUGCCCUUGCCUUAGUUGAUACAUUAUUUUGGGAUGCCUUUGAAGUUUUUGUGCAUAAGCCAUUUUUUGAAUCAUGGCAUGCUACUUGCUACUUACACAUUUUAAAUGUAUUUAUAUGCGUAAAUUGACAAAAGGAAAGUCAAAUAUUUGAAGUAAAUGAAUAAUCUUAGAUCAUGCUAGAAGAAACCCCUCAUAAACUAAUUAAAGCAGCUGAAUUCACAUAAUAAAAUCGGUCUCUAUAGAAUUUACAUUAAGAAUAGAGAUAAUAAUAUUUAAUAAGCAAUUGUUUGAAUCACAUUAUUGAUAGCUCAUUGUGAGGCUAAGUCCACCCCCUCCUCCUUAGUGUAAAUAAUGUCGUUUGUUAAAAAAAAAAUCAUUUGACAACUAAUUUAAUCACAUUAUUAUCCACGUGCGAAAGACCUUUUUUUAUAACUGGCAUUACAUGCCUCUUAAUAUGUUUUGAACGUGUUUAAAAAUAGAACAACUGAUUGAAACAUAUUAUUGCUAGUCCAUUGUGAGGGUAAGGGUAAGCCCACCCCCUCUCCCUUAGUGUAGAUAAUAUUGUUUGUUAAACAAAAAUCAUUUGACAACUAAUUUAAUCAGAUUAUUAUCCGCGUGCGAAAUACUUUUUUAUAACUGGCAUUACACGCCUCUUAAGAUGUUUUGAACGUGUUUAAAAAUAGAGAAAUUGAAUCACACUAUUGCUAGCCUAUUGUGAGGUACUAAUUUAAAAAAUACAAAAAAAAAGCAUAAAAAAUCAUUAUUAAAAAAAACUAUUAAAAUGACAAAAAUGCCCUUACCUUAUUUGAUACAUUAUUUUGGGAUGCCUUUGACGUUUUUUUGUCUUUGGGGUAUUUUUGUCCAAUUUUGUUUGUUGAAGCUUGGUGACAUCAAAAUCACUAUUCACUUUUCCAUUGCCUUUAUAUAUAGACUAGCCUUCAUGCACGCUCUCACGCGUGUGUAGAAGGCAUUUUUUGAAUUACAGCGUGCUAUGUGCGACUUAUACGUUUUAAAUGUAUUUAUAUGAGUAAAUUGACAAAAAGAAAGUCAAAUAUUUGAAGUUGUUGAUGCACAAAAUCAGUGAGGACUUUGGUACAAUAGAAAGUGUUAAGUUUGUGACCUUCGCUAGAUUGCUUUGGUCACUAGUGUGGAUAAGUAUGUAAAUGGAUAGAGACAGGGAAGUAAACACAAGAUGUACGUGGUUCACCCAGAUUGGCUACGUCCACGGAGUAGAGGAGUUCUCAUUAAUUGUGA